GGGCGCUUGGUCUAGGGGUAUGAUUUUCGCUUCGCACAUAACCUUCGAGUUGGUACGAAUAUGUGAAAGGUCGUGGGUUCAAUUCCCACAGUGUCCA
rnacentral:tRNA from 1 species